rnacentral:lncRNA from 1 species
UCAAGCGAGGACAGUCGUAACAAUGGAUACAGCUCCUUUGCCAAAAGAGGGAUUACAUGAUAGUUCAAAAUUAUCAGAUUUUUAUAACUGCAAGAAAUUCCCGAAGAUGCUGUUAAUGUCCUAAAAGGGUAAAGGCAAAGCAAGUAUUUUAGCAUCAGGCUGUUAUUUGAAAAAAAAAAAAAAAAAAAAAAAAAAUCCAAAUUCUGCACUUCUAAUAUUUGCUAAAUGGAAUAGAAGACAUGGAAUCUCUUGGACCAGCUCAGAAUAAACAGCCCAUUAUAGUGUGUAUUACAAGUUCAUUCUAUAUUAAAGCAGUAAAUCACUUAAUAGCAUGCCCAAAUCAUGCCAUGAAGGCAUUUGACAUUCUAUUUAAAACUAAUUUUGUAUUUAGCGUUCAAUAUGCACAUACAUCAACAAAUUUUUAUAAUUUUGUUGCAAGCCUUUUGUAUAAUGUCAGCACUCCUAGAGCUUGUGUGGACUCUUUAAAUACAUGUUUGAGUGUGAAUUUAUUGCAUUUUGUACAUGCAUUACAUUUCAUGUUUUUAAUGUCAUUUUAUUGUCAUAUUUUAGUGUCAUAUUUUCCAUUUUUAUAUAUGU